UACGUAGGGGGCUAGCGUUAUCCGGAUUUACUGGGCGUAAAGGGUGCGUAGGUGGUUUCUUAAGUCAGGAGUGAAAGGCUACGGCUCAACCGUAGUAAGCUCUUGAAACUGGGAAACUUGAGUUCAGGAGAGGAGAGUAGAAUUCCUAGUGUAGCGGUGAAAUGCGUAGAUAUUAGGAGGAAUACCAGUUGCGAAGGCGGCUCUCUGGACUGUAACUGACACUGAGGCACGAAAGCGUGGGGAGCAAACAGG
rnacentral:rRNA from 1 species